rnacentral:rRNA from 1 species
AGCGAACGCUGGCGGCAGGCCUAACACAUGCAAGUCGAACGAACUCUUCGGAGUUAGUGGCGGAUGGGUGAGUAACACGUCGGAACGUGCCCUUGUGUUUGGCAUAACUCAGGGAAACUUGUGCUAAUACCGAAUGUGCCCUACGGGGGAAAGAUUUUUCGCAAUUAAAGCGUCCCGCGUCUGAUUAGCUAUUUGGUUAGGUAACGGCUCACCAAGGCGACGAUCAGUAGCUGGUCUGAGAGGAUGACCAGCCACACUGGGACUGAGACACGGCCCAGACUCCUACGGGAGGCAGCAGUGGGGAAUCUUGCGCAAUGGGCGAAAGCCUGACGCAGCCAUGCCGCGUGAAUGAUGAAGGUCUUAGGAUUGUAAAAUUCUUUCACCGGGGACGAUAAUGACGGUACCCGGAGAAGAAGCCCCGGCUAACUUCGUG